GCAGAAUUUAACCCGUCUCGCACCAAAAGCUGAAGAUUUUCGCUCUCAUUCUCGCACCGCACACACAAUUAUGACGAUUACCGUAAGAGAUGUCGUGACCGAUGCAGAUUCCUCCCCCUUCGCUCCCAACCCGUCAAAGAAAGGGACUUCUGUGGUGUUACAGAUCGGGAUUAUCGGGAAGGGUUCGGCUGAUGUCGGCUAGAAGACCAUUGGCCAUCGGCUUCAUUCGGAAAGCAUCGCGCUUGUCCGUGAAAAAUCAAACCAUGCGUCCCGCAGAGCCGUUCACAUCUCCACUUCUCGCCUCCUCGAUCCUGUAAUAUUUGCUCAUCUGUGCAAACAGCCUAGAUUUAUAUAAAACAACGAAAAAGCAUCUGUCGUCGUCAUUGUUGUUGUCGUUGCUUUCUUGCAGGUUAUAUACAUGCAAUAAGCUCCAUUAAAAACCGUCGAAAUUAGUAACUCUUAAGUGGUCGUAUACAGCACCGCAAACUUCAUGCCCAAAAGUAUCCAGACGCCUCUAAUUAGUAAAAUUAGCUACUUUAAGGUGGACCCCUUGCUAACACAGGUGUUCAAUUGUGCAAAAACCACUUGUAUAAUCUAAAUAAAAUAAAUAAAUAAAUAAA